rnacentral:lncRNA from 13 species
AUUACUAUCCCAAUUUUUAAAUAUACACACUUGAACAUAUAUGUGCAUGUAUGUGUAUAUGUGUAUGUGAGCACAUAUGUAUGUGCAUGUGGACAGUGAUGGAAGGAAAGUUACAGAGACAUAUCCCCAAAUGCUAAAAGUCAUCAUCACUAAGUAUUGGAAACAUGAGUGAUUUUUUUCCCGUUUUUGUCUUUCACAAAGUUCUAUCACAUGCAUUACUUUCUUAAUCAGAAAACCACAUAUAACAAACAUAUUCAUAGGAAGGGUUGUUGCCAAAGAAAGAUGAGGACAGACAGAGGAAAUGGCUGCAGUGAAUGAGUUGAGGUUUCCUGUGCCGCACAUCAAGAUCCCAGGGUGUUAAAAGAACUUGCAGAUGUGGUCACAGAACCAGUGUCAGUGAUCCUGGAGGAAUCACAGAAAGCAGGCAUGGUUCCAGAAGAUUGCAAACUUAGAAAUGUGGUCCAGAUUUUCAAAAGAAGGGGACUGGCAAAUUUCAAAGAUUCAAUCCCAAGGCACAUAACAUCAAUCCCUGUGUGAUUUCAAAAAUAGAUUAUUAAACAGAUGGCUCUGAGCUCUUAGCAAAGGAAAUCGCGGGCUCACUAAAAACACAUAAUGCCAAACUAACCUUAUUUCUUUUUUCAUUGGACUAAGAAAUUCACAGGAGAGAGGGGCUGUUGCUUCAACUAGGUACCUGAUAGUCUUUAUUGGCAUCUGCUAAUGCCAGAGCUUUCUUCACUGGUGGAAUCAGACCAACUAGGAGAGACAAGAGAAGACACACCCUCCAAGACGGAAGAGAUACAGUCUUGCUCUGCCACCAAGGCUAGAGUGAAGUGGCAUGAUCUCAGCUUAUUGCAACCUCUGCAUCCUGAGUUCAAACAAUUCUCCUGCCUCAGCCUCCAGAAUAGCUGGGAUUACAGGUACAUGCCAUGCUCAGCUAAUUUUUUUUCCACCAAACCCUCGAGAUACGAAAUCAAUGUACAGAAGUCACAAGCAUUCCUAUGCACCAACAACAGGCAAGCAAAGAGCCAAAUCAUGAAUGAACUCCCAUCACAGUUGCUACAAAGAGAAUAAAAUACCUAGGAAUACUGUUAACAAGGGAAGUGAAUGACCACUUCAAGGAGAACUACAAACCUCUUCUCAAGGAAACCAGAGAAGACAUAAACAAAUGGAAAAAUAUUCCAUGCGCAUGGAUAGGAAGACUCAAUAUCGUGAAAAUGGACAUACUGCCCAAAAUAAUUUAUAGAUUCAAUGCUAUUCCCAUUAAACUACUAUUGAUAUUCUUCACAGAAUUUAAAAAAAAAUAACUGUUUUAAAAUUCAUAUGGAACUAAAAAAGGGCCCAUAGAACCAAGACAGUCAUAAGCAAAAAAGAACAAAUGUAGAGGCAUCACCCUGCCAGACUUCAAACUAUAUGAUAAGGCUACAGUAACCAGUACUGAAACAGACACUCAUACUGGUACAAAAACAGUCACAUAGACCAAUGGAACAGAAAAGAAAACUCAGAAAUGAGCUCACACAUCCAAAGCCAUCUGAUCUUCAACAAACCUGAAAAAAAAAUCAAGCAAUGGGGAAAGGAUUCCCUAUUCAACAAAUGGUGCUGGGAUAGCUGGCUAUCCAUUUGCAGAAAAUUGAAACUGG